UUGUAGGUUGGGCACUCUAAGAGACUGCCGGUGUCAAACCGGAGGAAGGUGGGGAUGACGUCAAGUCCUCAUGGCCUUUAUGACCAGGGCUACACACGUACUACAAUGGCCGGUACAAAGGGCAGCGACACAGCGAUGUGAAGCCAAUCCCGAAAAGCCGGCCUCAGUCCGGAUUGGAGUCUGCAACUCGACUCCAUGAAGUUGGAAUCGCUAGUAAUCGCGGAUCAGCACGCCGCGGUGAAUACGUUCCCGGGCCUU
rnacentral:rRNA from 1 species